rfam:Bacteroides sp. CAG:462 genomic scaffold, scf292
ACGAACAAAACAUUCAAAGUAAGAUGAAAUUUAAGACUAAUACAUAUUGGUGGUGGCGCCGCUUACAACUCCAACAGUCGUAAGGGAGCGAGCCUCGUAUGCAUUAAAUUCCAACAUACACAUUUUAUAAAUUUGCUAAGCGGGCUGUC